rnacentral:snRNA from 1 species
GGAUUUGAGGGCAAUCUGUCACCCCUUUGAUCACCAGGGUUGAUUUGGCUGAUCUGGCUGGCUAGGUGGGUGUGCCCUCCUCCCUCACCGCUCCACAUGCAUCCCUCCAGAAGUUGCACACUCAGUCAAAGAGGACAGCCUUCCCCGAAUAGAGACAGACCAGUCUUCUGUCGAGGGUAUACAAGUAGCUGUGCUCCCCUGCUAGAACCUCCAAAAAGCUCUCAAGGAAUGCAAACUGCUCGUUUGAUUGUAUCAGGACCUGAAUUCUGGCUGAGUAAUAAUUUAAUGAAUUGAUUUGAUAGUUC